rfam:Salmo salar isolate Sally breed double haploid chromosome ssa13, whole genome shotgun sequence.
UAGCUCAGUUGGUAGAGCAUGGUGUUUGCAACGCCAGGGUUGUGAGUUCAAUUCCCAC